rnacentral:rRNA from 1 species
AUUAUUACCGCGGCUGCUGGCACGGAGUUAGCCGAUCCUUAUUCGUAAGGUACAUGCAAAAAGUCACGCGUGACUCACUUUAUUCCCUUACAAAAGAAGUUUACAACCCGUAGGGCCGUCUUCCUUCACGCGACGUGGCUGGUUCAGACUUGCGUCCAUUGACCAAUAUUCCUCACUGCUGCCUCCCGUAGGCAAU